rnacentral:pre_miRNA from 1 species
GCUGCUCGCUGUUCCUUUUUCCUAUGCAUAUACUUCUUUGCGGGUCUGGCCUGAAGAGGUGUAGGCAUGGGAAAAUGGGGCAUCGAGGUCCUCCU